CAUUUUUUUCAGGUAAAAGGGGAUCUCAUCUCUUUCUUGUCAAGAACUUUGAGUCAUGCGAAUCGCCCUAUGAAAGAAAUAGAAAUAAAUAUCUUCUUCCUCCUAUGAACUACGUGUGGAGUAACGUGAAGAAAGGGAGCUGCUUCUUCCCCAUCCAUCCCUCGGGCAGCAAAAUGCAUUCUGCGAACCAUUCAGAAAGCUAACACACCUGUGAUAUACGGAGUACUUGUCCCCCGAUGCUGCUGAGAGCGAAACCAAUCUCCUGCAGUCCUUGGUCGUAUUCAAUCACACGCAGGUCCCUCUUGUGAAGACAUCUUCCGGCGAGACAAUCUGCACGAUUAAUGUGAUUCUUUGUUCAUAUUCAGUGACGGCAAGACAAUCUGUGCAGCUGUUGAACGUGUUCAUAGGAUCAUCAGGUUCCACAUUCCGGCUGCCAAGGGGCAGGGGUUCAGCGUCCCACUGCGACGAGUGUACCUCUGCCAGGGUGAGCUGCCCUGUUAGAAAUAUUCAGCAUUUGACUAGUAUUAGUGGUAGGCCUCUUCAUACGUGAUCAUGCAUAUGUAUUUGACUAGUAUUAGUGGUUGGCCUCUUCAUACGUGAUCAUGCAUAUGUGUUGUACUAAACAUAGAGCAUUAGUCAUAGACUAGAUCCUUGUCUUUGGGCUUUGUACGGUUGUAACAACUCAUCUCCUGUAAGCCACGGUGGGGGCUUUUCCCACCUUUACUUAACACGCAACCGUGAGCCUCAACAGGCAUCACGUUACCACCA